rnacentral:rRNA from 1 species
UACGAAGGGGCUAGCGUUGCUCGGAAUGACUGGGCGUAAAGGGCGCGUAGGCGGUUUGUAUAGUCAGACGUGAAAUUCCUGGGCUUAACCUGGGGCUGCGUUUGAUACGUGCAGACUUGAGUGAGGAAGAGGUUGUGGAAUUCCCAGGUGUAGAAGGUGAAAUUCGUAGAUAUCGACAGGAACACCUGCGGCGAAAGCGGCCUUCUGGACGAACACUG